UACGAAGGGUGCAAACGUUGCUCGGAAUCAUUGGGCGUAAAGCGCACGUAGGCGGCUUGACAAGUGGAAGGUGAAAGCCCUCGGCUUAACCGAGGAACUGCCCUCCAAACUGUUUGGCUUGAGACCGGGAGAGGUGAGUGGAAUUCCCAGUGUAGCGGUGAAAUGCGUAGAUAUUGGGAGGAACACCAGUGGCGAAGGCGGCUCACUGGACCGGUACUGACGCUGAUGCGCGAAAGCGUGGGGAGCAAACGGG
rnacentral:rRNA from 1 species